rnacentral:rRNA from 1 species
GGCGGACGGGUGAGAACGCGUACAGAAUUUGCCCUUCUAACAGGGACAACUAACCGAAAGGUUAGCUAAUACCGGAUAUUAUGAGACCUUGGCAUCAAGGACUUAUGAAAGCUAUAUGCGCUGGAGGAGAACUUUGCGUCCCAUUAGGUACUUGGUAGGGUAAUGGCCUACCAAGCCGACGAUGGGUAGCCGGCCUGAGAGGGUGAACGGCCACAAGGGGACUGAGACACGGCCCUUACUCCUACGGGAGGCAGCAGUGGGGAAUAUUGGACAAUGGACCAAAAGUCUGAUCCNGCAAUUCUGUGUGCACGAUGAAGGUCUUCCGGAUUGUUAAGUGCUUUCAUGUGGGAAGAAGAAAGUGACGGUAACACCAAAAAAAAGCGACGGCUAAAUCCGUGCCAGCACUCCGCGGUAAUCCGUAUGUCGCAAGCGUUAUCCCGAAUUAUUUGGGUGUCAAGCCGAGUCUAGGCUGCUUGUUUAGUCCACAUGGUGAAAAUGCGGGGCUACAACUCCGUAUUCCGUUUGAAACUGGCANGCUAGAGUAUGGGAACGUGCGGCGGAAACUACAAUUGUUA